AGUGAACGCUGGCGGUAGGCCUAACACAUGCAAGUCGAACGGCAGCACAGGAGAGCUUGCUCUCUGGGUGGCGAGUGGCGGACGGGUGAGGAAUACAUCGGGAUCUACUCUGUCGUGGGGGAUAACGUGGGGAAACUUACGCUAAUACCGCAUACGACCUACGGGUGAAAGCAGGGGACCUUCGGGCCUUGCGCGAUUGAAUGAGCCGAUGUCGGAUUAGCUAGUUGGCGGGGUAAAGGCCCACCAAGGCGACGAUCCGUAGCUGGUCUGAGAGGAUGAUCAGCCACACUGGAACUGAGACACGGUCCAGACUCCUACGGGAGGCAGCAGUGGGGAAUAUUGGACAAUGGGCGCAAGCCUGAUCCAGCCAUACCGCGUGGGUGAAGAAGGCCUUCGGGUUGUAAAGCCCUUUUGUUGGGAAAGAAAUCCAGCUGGCUAAUACCCGGUUGGGAUGACGGUACCCAAAGAAUAAGCACCGGCUAACUUCGUGCCAGCCGCCGCAGUAA
rnacentral:rRNA from 1 species